GGCCUCAUAGCUCAGUUGGCUAGAGUGUUGGUUGUACUUAAGACUUCCCCUUUUUGGCGUGGGUUCGAAUCCCACCGAUGCCG
rnacentral:tRNA from 1 species